rnacentral:rRNA from 1 species
GUAGGGAAUAUUGGGCAAUGGAGGCAACUCUGACCCAGCCAUGCCGCGUGCAGGAUGACGGCCCUCUGGGUUGUAAACUGCUUUUAUACGGGAAGAAAAAAUACUACGUGUAGUAUACUGACGGUACCGUAAGAAUAAGGAUCGGCUAACUCCGUGCCAGCAGCCGCGGUAAUACGGAGGAUCCAAGCGUUGUCCGGAUUUAUUGGGUUUAAAGGGUGCGUAGGCGGAUCUUUAAGUCAGUGGUGAAAGCCUGCAGCUUAACUGUAGAAUUGCCAUUGAAACUGAAGAUAUUGAAUGUGGUUAAAGUAGGCGGAAUGUAUCAUGUAGCGGUGAAAUGCUUAGAUAUGAUACAGAACACCGAUAGCGAAGGCAGCUUGCUGAACCAUUAUUGACGCUGAGGCACGAAAGCGUGGGGAGCGAACAGGAUUAGAUACCCCGGUAGUCC